GGCACUUUGGCGGAGUGGUUAACGCGAUGUAAGUCUCCCUGUCUCAUGGUUAUCAUAGCCAUAGCUAACAAUAUGUUCAGGGCCUGCUAUUACGAAAGUAAAGACAGCCAUUUCCUUCGGGAGCGAGUGUUCGAAUCACUCAGGUGUCG
rnacentral:tRNA from 1 species